rnacentral:rRNA from 1 species
UGCCAGCCGCCGCGGUAAUACGGAGGGUGCAAGCGUUGUUCGGAAUUACUGGGCGUAAAGCGCAUGUAGGCGGCUAGUUAAGUCGGAUGUGAAAGCCUGGGGCUCAACCCCAGAAGUGCAUCCGAAACUAUCUAGCUUGAAUAUGGAAGAGGGUAGUGGAAUUCCUGGUGUAGUGGUGAAAUACGUAGAUAUCAGGAGGAACAUCGGUGGCGAAGGCGGCUGCCUGGUCCGGAUCUGACGCUGAGGCGCGAAAGCGUGGGGAGCAAACAGGAUUAGAUA